rnacentral:lncRNA from 1 species
GCAGUAAUGAGAAAUGCUAUAGAAAUGUUAAAAUGUGUAGGAGGAAAUGAUUGUGGCGAAAUGGUGCGCAAUAUUUUAGACAGGGUCAUCUAGACAGGGAGAAG